rnacentral:rRNA from 1 species
UACGGGGGGAGCAAGCGUUGUUCGGAUUUACUGGGCGUAAAGGGCGCGUAGGCGGCCACCGCAAGUCGACUGUGAAAUCUCCGGGCUUAACCCGGAAAGGUCAGCCGAUACUGCGGGGCUAGAGUGCAGAAGGGGCAACUGGAAUUCUCGGUGUAGCGGUGAAAUGCGUAGAUAUCGAGAGGAACACCUGCGGCGAAGGCGGGUUGCUGGGCUGACACUGACGCUGAAGCGCGAAAGCUAGGGUAGCAAACGGG